rnacentral:rRNA from 1 species
CGGAGGAACGAUGUGGUUUAAUUCGAUGAUACGCGAGGAACCUUAGCCCGGGGCUUGAAUUGCAGAGGAAGGAUUUGGAGACAAUGACGCCCUUCGGGGCCUCUGUGAAGGUGCUGCAUGGUUGUCGUCAGCUCGUGCCGUGAGGUGUCGGCUUAAGUGCCAUAACGAGCGCAACCCCUCUCCUUAGUUGCCAUCAGGUCAAGCUGGGCACUCUGGGGACACUGCCACCGUAAGGUGUGA